rnacentral:rRNA from 1 species
CCCUGAAAUACAUAUCAGUAAGCGGAGGAAAAGAAACUAACCAGGAUUCCCCCAGUAACGGCGAGUGAACGGGGAUUAGCCCAGCAUCGAAGCCUAUGGUCGUUUGACUGUAAGGCAAUGUGAUGUUAUGGUUUGUGCCUAGGGUCGCUGGUCAACUCGAAGUCCAAUAUUGAAUGUGGCUUUUGUAUGUAGCCCAGAGCGGGUGAUAGGCCCGUGCGAGUUGAUUGUCAGUGGUGUUGAGCGGCCUCCAGAUGCACGAACUAUGGAGUCGGAUUGCUUGAGAAUGCAGUCCAAAGUUGGUGGUAAACUCCAUCAAAGGCUAAAUACCUGCACGAGUCCGAUAGCAAACAAGUACCGUGAGGGAAAGUUGAAAAGUACUCUGAAGAGAGAGUAAAUAGUACGUGAAACCACAUGAAGGUAAGCGGGUGGAGUCCAGCUGCUUGCCAAGAGAAUUUAGUCGGACUGUGAAAAAUGGAUGUUGUGAGCUGCCACAUUGGGUUCGCUUUUGAAAGGCGUGUUAGGCACACAUACCUGUCUAAUCCAUGUGCCGUCUUGUAGACGGUGUGGGCCCAGUGUGUGUUAUAGCGUGUGCUCGCAGCCUGGCGUUCUUUCUCUUGGCAAACAUCACAGUCAAUAUUGCUGCUAGUAUGUGAUGCGUCAAACCGUCAAGUGGUGGGCCUCGAAGUUCACUCUUGCCGGGAUGGCAGGUGGUGUAUGUGGCGUGUGCCGUAUGGUUCACGUUCAUGUAUGCUUAAAAAUGGUUUCGACCAGCCGACCUUCACGUUGUAUAAUUUGCAUUAAACUAUGCAGUAUAUUGGUCAUAGCAUGUGCUCUGCGCGAUCAGUUCAUUGUGUGUCCAGAGAGGCCCAUGCCUGGUUAUGUGUAAAAGCGUGCCUAGUAUGGUGUUUCCACUGUGCGCGUUUUGAAUGAAUUCGUUUGUACGUGUAAACUGUGGUGCUGUGGUAGAUGUUCCACCUGACCGCUGAA